rnacentral:pre_miRNA from 1 species
GAUCUCGUCACACAACAGACCACAAGGGCUGAUGAGACUUCCAAGAUAAGUGAAGCA